CGCUGCGGCCGCUGCCUCUUCCCGCUUUAAUCCCAGACCUCCAGUCAUUGGGCAGCUCCUCAGAGGCAAGAAGUCAACACCAUGGCAACCCGACAAGCCUAUCAAAUCACCGGCUGGUGUGACAGCAGCAACACUGCAGGCUGGAGUGGGCUGGGCAGAAGAGCAGAGUGGCCUCUACGCUCAGCGACAAAAAGAUGCCAUCAUUUUUAUGUGACUCAUAUGCAAAACGAAAUACAUUCAUCUCUGAGGUCUGCUGAUGGGAAAUAAAACCAGAUAUUUCACUUCUAACUCUAUCAAGCAAAAGAAAAAUCAGUUGUGAUUCCAAGAAGACAUGAACUCUUGGAAAGAAGAUGCUGGCUGGCUAGUAAUAUUGCGUUGGAACACCCUGGAGUAUGCAGAUCGUCCUGGCACAGUCUCUAGCGGCAGACUGCCCAGCCCUCACCUUACCCUCAUCUGUUCAACACAAAAAGUGAAGGUGUGUCUUUCCGAUUUACAGAUGACCCCAGACUGAGACACAGAGAUGAUAAAGACAGAGAGAGAGAGAGAGAGAGAGAGAGUGAGAGUGCACAAGAGAAUUCCAUUGGAAGACCGAACUAGAACUAAAGCAUAUCACAACUGUUUUCUGGGUUAAAUAUAAAGGCUUGAGUGGAAGCUUGAAAAGGGAGUGUACAUUGAAAGGCUGUGGGAAAUUUACAUAGAAGAACAUCUCGGUAAAAAUGAAUGAGGGUUUUUUUUGUUGGCAGCAAACUCAAUAAACCAACAAUAAAAAGAGGGGAUCCGGUUGCUUGCUUUUUCUGUUGUUAAUGUUUUGUUUGUUAAUGUUAAUGUUGUUAAUAUUAACAGGGGAAGCAUGCCAAGAGAAAAGAAAAUGAUCAUGUCUUGGGAAAACACAUUUGGUGCGUGGUCUGUGGUUCUUGUCAGCAGAGGUUUAUAGCAAGAAGUACCCACUGGUGCAUAUCAAGGAGAGAUUGCUGCCAUGGGGGAGGGUUCUAGAAUCAAUACUCUACCGGUUUAAAAAGGUGAGACUCUUGUUUAAAAAAGCAAAGACUGAGGAUAUAACAGCUGUCUUCAAAUAUAUAACAAAUUCUUUCUAGAGAAGAG